rnacentral:snoRNA from 1 species
UGGCAUGUUCCCAAGGUAUCUUGUUGCUUGUGGCAAAAGGACCUCCAACUGUAUGCAAGAGCAACCUGGAGAGACUAUGACAGCCCAGGUCAGCAGAGGACCUGCAGCUGCCACUUAACUUUCCUAUAAUG